rnacentral:rRNA from 1 species
GACGAACGCUGGCGGCGUGCUUAACACAUGCAAGUCGAACGCUGAAGCCCUUCGGGGUGGAUGAGUGGCGAACGGGUGAGUAACACGUGGGUAAUCUGCCCUGCACUCUGGGAUAAGCCUUGGAAACGGGGCCUAAUACCGGAUAGGACACAUCGCCGCAUGGUGUGUGUGUGGAAAGUUCCGGCGGUGCAGGUUGAGCCCGCGGCCUAUCAGCUUGUUGGUGGGGUGAUGGCCUACCAAGGCGACGACGGGUAGCCGGCCUGAGAGGGUGACCGGCCACACUGGGACUGAGACACGGCCCAGACUCCUACGGGAGGCAGCAGUGGGGAAUCUUGCGCAAUGGGCGAAAGCCUGACGCAGCAACGCCGCGUGGGGGAUGACGGCCUUCGGGUUGUAAACCUCUUUCGACCGGGACGAAGGAUUCGUUUGACGGUACCGGUAGAAGAAGCACCGGCUAACUACGUGCCAGCAGCCGCCGUAA